AAUGUCUGGUCAAGGUUUUUGGGGGAGCGAUAUGGAUCCUUGGAAAUACUGGACUGCAAUACAGAAUUGCUGGAAUACAGAAGUAGGACAGAGCGCUGCUCACCUGAUAGUUUCCUAAGAUUAUAUCCAAGUGCAAACCUGAAGGACAGCUUCCUCAUUUUCAUGUGACAGAAGACACCCUCUGGAAAGUUGCUCAUGGACCGAGAAACAUACAGCAGUUCUGCCAAGCCGAGUUCCCCCCAUCAUAACACUACCCACAUUGGAGUGCAAAAAUGCACUGAGGAGCAUACAAAGCAUGCUGUCACUGCUACAGAAAUAGCAUGCCCAGAUACAUACCAUGACCUGCACCAUGCAAUGUGUGUUGACAGAGAUACAAAGUAUGUGCACACACUCUAAGCUGCACCAAUGGCCAAACUGGACAGUAUGCUGGAAGACCUUGAUUGGAUCUCUAAUAUUUUUAUUUUGCUCAAAGCAACCAUGAAGAGGGUAUGAAAUAAAUCAGGGGAAUAAAUGUUUAACCUUU